CCCCCCGCCCCUCCACCCCUCCACCCCCAGGGGCGGAGGGCAAGACCUCCCUUCAUUUUCAAAGCUUUCUUUCCCAGCGCUUCCCAAACCCUACCGAGCAAACUGAAUCAGCUGAGGUCUUGUUAAAAUGCAUGUUCUCAUUCAAUAGGCCUGGGAUGGAGCCUGAAAUCCUGCAUUGCUAACAAGCUUUCAGAGGUAGUGAAGAGGAAGAAGAAAUCAAAAUGAGAAACAGCAAAAGAAAAAGAGGGCAGCUUUCUUUUAACGUGCCAGUCUCCCGAGCCUUCUGCAGUUCGUGCUCAGAAGAGUGACGGACGUGGCAGGUGCCCCCGCCAAGCCCCCAGUGCAGCCCCCGGAAGGCAGCGAAGGAGGCGCCGGUGACGAGGAGCCCAGAGGGCACCAUGGCCUGGCGGGCGGGCUAGGUCCAGAUCGGUCCCUGGGGCUCCCGGGCUCUCAGCCCCGACGCAUCCAACACCCCGCUGCGGGGACUGCUAGCAGGCUUCCCCGCAAGGCUGGGUGCCUAGAUUCCCCCCUAAUAUACAUUUCUAUCAACAGUGCACUAAGGUUCCUUUUUCUCCACAUCUUCACCAACAAUUGUUAUUUCUUGUCUUUUGGAUGAUGGCCAUUCUAACAGGUGUGAAUUGAUCCUGUUGACUAGGUACGACUCUGGA